UUCUGAUGUUUCAGAUGUAGCCACAUUCCACAGAGUGUGGUGUCUGUGGUAAUCUGUACAGAUACCAGGAAUGGAGUGAGGGGCUCCACAACUUCAACGACCACGUUAUUCUGUCGCUCCAUCUCUGCAUCUUGCUGCGGCAGUCUUUACAAAAUCACACUGCGGUUGGCAGGCAGCUGGACAUUUUGGAGGCAACCCACCAAACCAAGUAUGCCAGCCACGACUCCAUUUUACACGGCUAUUUACACUUCGAAGCCCUGUCAUCCCACGAUCACAACUUUUCAUGUGUAAAUUGUGGGGACCACCCAGCUGUCGUUGUGAUGGACUUACACAAGAAGGGUGUUUUCAAAAUGGCAGGUAUGUGUUGGUUUUCUACUUCACGCAAUGUAAAUUCCCAAUUCUGUUCUUUUUAUGAGAAAGGGAUGUGUUCCAGUGAGUGACAUCAAAGAUCCACCACCCGAUUUUAAUGGACGUGUCAACAUAGAAGAUUUCUGGAGUUCGGGCAGUGAGGAAAUUGUCUGCCGUGGCUUUUUGAAAAGCAACAGUAACAAUCCAUGCGGUGUAAAGCCAUCAUAUUUGAACUGGGCCCCAUGGAUUGGUCCACGAACAAGGGCCAGUGAUGUUGUGCUGAACACAGAGUACACAAAAGUGAAGCCGACAAAGCCUACCGACCAAGCAACCCUAGAUUUGGCAGAGGAUCACUUGGUGGACCAAUUGAUGAAAU